UACGAAGGGGGCUAGCGUUGCUCGGAAUCACUGGGCGUAAAGCGCACGUAGGCGGAUCCUUAAGUCGGGGGUGAAAUCCUGGAGCUCAACUCCAGAACUGCCUUCGAUACUGGCGAUCUUGAGUCCGGGAGAGGUGAGUGGAACUCCGAGUGUAGAGGUGAAAUUCGUAGAUAUUCGGAAGAACACCAGUGGCGAAGGCGGCUCACUGGCCCGGUACUGACGCUGAGGUGCGAAAGCGUGGGGAGCAAACAGG
rnacentral:rRNA from 1 species